rnacentral:lncRNA from 1 species
CACAAAGCUCGCGGGUGAACUACACAGGCCAUGUGGGUGCCGAGCUCAGAGCCGGAAAGCAAACAGCUGCUGUAGCCUGAUUUGAGUUAAAAUAGUGUGAGUGUUUAGUCUGGCGCACGGCUUCGGGGGAGAUUGGCAGCUGGGUCAAACAAAGUCCUUCCUUUGGCUCUCUUCCCAGGCUGCUCUGCUAGUAUUUAGUGGGUCCUAGUGCUGUGUAGGGCCCUUUUCUCAGGCAAAAUCCUAACAUCUGACCGCACCCUCUCUGCAAAAAAAAAAAAAAAAAAAAAAAAAAAAAAGGAGAAAAGGGAAAAAAAAUAGCUGUUUCUGCUUCUUGCGUUAUAAGAUAAAUUCUCCUGGAGACAACCUCUCUCCCACUAAUUGUGUGUUAGCCAUGCAUUUUUAUCUUGAGAGCUGAAGCACUGGGCUCUCAAGUGGUGUGGAAAGCAGCCUGUUACAGUGAGAGAUUCACUUCAUAAAAGGGCUGCUAUGGUGUGUGAAAGAAUAUCUGUGUGCUUAGGCAGGAAACUUUUUGAUCUCCAGAAAAGCCAGAAGACAUCUAGCACACCAGUAGGGGUGAUCAUCAAAGUGAGCUGUAUGCACUAUGGAGAGAUUCUACAAAACCCACUGGGACAAACAGCAGACGAACCCACAAACCUGUUCACUGUUACCCUUAAUGGUCACCCAGAAAGCAACUAUAAAGGACAGACUGCUUCAUGCGGAAAAGAGCAGAACAGUACAGAUCGGAGACCUUGGACAAAGCCAAAACAAUAACAUAAAAGCUACCAGGAGGUCACAAUGUUCCUGUAAAGACAGGAAGGCAUUUGAACUGGUCGAACAGGACGACAGAGCAGUGAACAUGAGAUCAUUUCAGCCGAGUAGCAAACUGGCACCCAGCCUUUUCACCCCUUCGGUUCGGGAGUCAAACGUGUGCAGUUCUCAUUUCUCAAGUCAGCCCAGCCUGGAAGGAUUCAGGGUCUCUCCCACCGUCUACCAUUCUGCUGCCAGCUGAUGGCAAGGAUUGGUCCAGCUUCGGUGCAGUGCUUUGUGCCUGGAAUACGGAGAAGGAAGAGAAUGACGACAAGCCCUCCUUUGCUGAGAAAUAGCAGGAGCCCCGAAGAAACAGCAAAAAGCCAAACAACACAAAAACCCAGAACUUCUCAGUACAUGCAAGAGUGCUGAAAAAUAAUGAUAAUGAUGAGAUGCGCCUGCUUGAAAACAAAACAAACAAACAAACAAAAACUCAAACCAAAGCAAACCAAAAGCAGCAAACUUUGGCUUGUCUAACUCCUGAGACAUCGGGCUUUGUAGAGCAGUUCUGAAGGCAACACCACCAAAUGAGCCUUCUUUGUUUUUAUUUCUUUGCUUUUUUAUGGUUAUUUCAAAAACUGUGGCCUAAGAGCAGUACGUUGCACUUGGUGAACCCGCACUUUCGUAUCAGGGGAACAUUUAAAGUGGAUAUGAGAAGAAAAGAAAAUGACCAUAGGAGAAAAAUCAUCUCAGAACUCUUGAUGGCCUAAGAACUUUAGGCAGCAGCUGCUUGGUCAUGCCUAACACACCUUUUGCUCUCAUUUUCUCACUGGUAAGCAUAGCUGAUACCAUGCAUCCGAGUCAAGAGCGUGUCUGGAAAAUGAGUCAUGGCACUUUCAGCAGAGCACACCACAGUUUCCGCUUUGGAAAUAAAAUUCUUACAUAUUUACUUGGAUCUCUUCCCCUCAUGUUUCACAUAGAUUAAAUUUUCUUGCUUUUAAAAUCAAACUGAAUAAAAGAAGCACUUCUGGCUCUCUACCAUAUAUGACAUAAUUACUUACUUUACCAUAUUUCCUUUGUAUGCUAGAUAAUCUUUGCAGUCAAAUCAACACACACACUAUCGUUCAUGCCCACACUAUCCAUUUUAGGUAUCUACAAUGCUAACAGUAUUUGCCAAAAUAUUAUCUGGCCC